UACAGAGGUCUCAAGCGUUGUUCGGAUUCAUUGGGCGUAAAGGGUGCGUAGGCGGGUCUCUAAGUCAGGGGUGAAAUCCUGGAGCUCAACUCCAGAACUGCCUUUGAUACUGAAGAUCUUGAGUUCGGGAGAGGUGAGUGGAACUGCGAGUGUAGAGGUGAAAUUCGUAGAUAUUCGCAAGAACACCAGUGGCGAAGGCGGCUCACUGGCCCGAUACUGACGCUGAGGCACGAAAGCGUGGGGAGCAAACAGG
rnacentral:rRNA from 1 species